rnacentral:lncRNA from 1 species
ACUUAAAGGGCCAGAAAUUGACAUAGACCUUUAAAGGGAACUUUAGCUGGGGUUGCAUUGUAUCUCAGUUGGUAGAGUGCUUGCCUAGCACGCUCGGCGCCCUGAGUUUCCAUCCACAGCACUGCAUAAAACCCGAGUAGUGUGGUACACGCCUGUAAUCCCAACACUGAGGGGGAGGUGAUCAGGAGUUCAAGGCCAACCAUGAGACCCUUGCCGCUCCACCAGGAGGGGAGCGGAGGGGAACGGGGUGGAAGGAGAAGGGAAAGAAAUAGGGAAGUCGAGCCUAAGACAAAAGUACCCUAGAAGGGAAUGGAAAAUGCUCCACGCAUUAGCCCAGGCUGACAGCCUAGAGUGGCAGGUAUGAAGCCAGGGAUCAGGUGCAGAUCCUAAUCUUUCAGGCUCUGGAAUGCUAGCUAGAGGGUAGAUGACUUACGAAAUAUACUAAGGGCAGAGAGCCAAAGGGUUAUCCUGGCGGACAGCUUAGCUUUCCCGAAGAGAUGAGGAUCAGAAUGGCAUAUUCUUUUCUUUUCCCCAUUUCGUCCUCUGCCCCCGUUAAAGUUGCAUUUGAUUUCUUUACUUUGCACUGUAGGGACAUGUAGGUUCCAUGGCUUGUGUGGUUAUCAGAGAAUAACUUGUAGGAAUCAGCAAUUUCCUUCCACUACGUGUGGGGCCUGGGGAUCAAACUCAGGUCAACAGGCAUGGCUGUAAGCUCCCAUACUUGCUGAGCUAGCUAGCUCACCAGUCCAUUUUUUUUUUUUUUAAUUUGUCUUGAGACGGGGUCUCAUACAGUCCACGGUGACUUUUAAUUCAUGAUGUAGCUAGGGGUGGCUUUGGAACUCAGAGUCCUCCUGCCUCUACCUCUGUAAUGGCUGGGGUUACAGGCAUGCUUUGGGGUCUUUCCUAAGUGUACUGCCGAGUCUCAUCUGGUAAACUGUAAAUUUGGGGAGCAGAGGCUUGGUUGUAAAAUCCACAAUGCUACCCUCAGCCCAGACCACCCCAGAUUUCUAGUUAUUUAGUAAGCUCCUUCUCCUUAGGAAUUAUUUGACUAACAUUGGGUUCGAGAUCUUUGGUUUUCUUAGGGACUCGUUUUUGUCUGGUUUUCUAGUAUUUUAGUACACUGCUAUUUUAUUUAUUUAUUUAUUUAAUAAGGAAAGCUCUCCUGUUCUUAUAUGCAUACCAGCCUG